AGAAUUCGUACUUCCCCCAUUCUUUCUGCGUUCUUUCCCCGCCUCUUCCACGCAUUAUUUCUACUCAUUUUAUUCAUGACCCUUCUUCAUUCAUUCGUUUUAUCCUUUCUGUAUUCGUGUGCUUCGCCAUUUUGAUCAGUUAUCUGGCAAAAUCCAAGCCCAGUUCCUAUCACUGGUCUUGCUUGUUUUUACUUCCUCUUCCAUUGCAUUCUAUGCUACCCAAAACCACGCUGUAUACGCGAUGCCAAGGUCUGCAAAAGCCUGAGCCAAGAUGAUGUAAAUCAUGUCGCAACCGAGUUUUACCAGAGAAAUUUGUCUCCGAUUCGGGUCUGUACAAACAAAAUUUAGGUGUUUUCUUUACAAUUCCCAUUCUGCAUUUCUAUUUUCGCUUUCUGACGAGGGUUCGAAUCUCGGCCGCGCGCAGUUUCUUUUUAAGCUUCAAACGGAGGGCAAAAUAAAGGCACGUAAAUAGCUGUUCAGAGUUGCAGUAGAGGUAGAAUGGAAGGAAGAGGGAUUGAGGUAGAUCUGGUGGAGUCGUGGAUGCCCUUGUCUCUGAUAUUGCUGAACACAAGAAAACUGCUCUCCAGGAUGGAAGGGGUCUCGUGACAACAUUUGGAUGGUCCACUGCUUCUGCCCGCGCCUGUCAAUGAAGGAGGAAGACCAGUACAAGGAGAUACCCCGAGAUCUCCGUUAUGCUUUGAGUCAUCAAUAGCUUACUGCAAGCUUCAAUUGCACCAUGACAUGUAAAGAACUCUGUUGAAAGCUUGGUAAUUGUACAACCUCCAAUGUAGGGGUGCUUAUAAACUAAUCCCCUUUAGAUUAUAAUCAGCAGUAAUUCCUGAGGUUGUAACAAUUACUAAGCUUUGAACGGAUUUCUUUACAAUUUCUCUGAUAAAGCCCUAGACCUUCAAUGCCUCGCUUAUUGUAACCCUCAAACAGGGUCAUCUACAGGUCGAAGCUUUUGCUACUGCAAGAACCCACAAACAAUGCACUAUUAUUUAGAUGGUGGAGGAGGCAUUUCCAAUCCGUCUCUGCAUUCUCGGGACCUUUCCAAAUAGGGAUGGCCUCAAUUUUGUCAUGGACGCGUCCCCGGGUUACAUAGUUACAAAUGCUUAUAGUGUUAUGCUUUGUUCCUUUGGUAAAGCUAUAUCAUGUGGUAUGUUGUUUGUAAUAAAGGUGUUGAUGUUGUUUCCAUGUGUUUUAUUAUGUUGAUAAUAUAUGUCACAUAAAACACAUAGAUUAUUAAGUCAAAUACCUUUACUGGAUUGCCCCAUCAUGGGCCCUAAUAAGAAGUUACAUGCAACGAAUUUAACCUUUGGCAUUGUACAAAUGAAUGCAGUUAUUUUAUAUUUA